rnacentral:tRNA from 1 species
GCUUAUAGUUCUAUUAGAGAAUUUUCCAUUUACACUGGAAAGGUUUCUGUGCGAUUCAGGGUUAGCUGUAA